rnacentral:rRNA from 1 species
UAAUGGCAGGUCAGCAUACUGCCGUGAAUACGUUCCCGGGCCUUGUACACACCGCCCGUCACACCAUGAGAGUUGGGAAUACCCGAAGCCUGUGGGCUAACGAAAGAGGCAGCAGUCGAAGGUAGAAUCAAUGAUUGGGGUGAAGUCGUAACAAGGUAUC